ACGGAAGCCCGGUGAGGCCAAGACCGACUCGGAAGAGAAGGGUCGAUCUCCCGCAUCAGGCAACCCAGCACGGAUCCCGGUACCCACGCGGAGCCAGAGCCGCUAUAGAGGCAGAAGCGUUGCGGGCCUGCGAAUUUGCGAAGAGCGGAUGAACCAAGACCUCUUGGGUUGAGGUCAGCUUCACACCGCGUCGCACAAUCGCCGAGGCCAACCCACGCAGCCCACCUAUGGACGCUUGGUAACCGGCGAUCCGUGCUAGCGGGCGGCGAACUGAGAACUGGAUGCCCAGUGCUCGGAGCGCCGCCCGCUUUGCGUG
rnacentral:ncRNA from 1 species